GGCCAUGGAAGUCGGAAUCCCCUAAGGAGUGUGUAACAACUCACCUGCCGAAGGUACUAGCCCUGAAAAUGGAUGGCGCUCAAGCGGACCACCGAUGCGCGGCCGCCGGCGCGAGCGCGAGGCGCCGGCGAGUAGGAGGGCGCGGGGUUCGCGACGCAGCCUUGGGCGUGAGCCUGGGUGAAGCGGCCUCCGGUGCAGAUCUUGGUGGUAGUAGCAUAUAUUCAAUAGAGAACAUUGAA
rnacentral:rRNA from 1 species